UGCUUCACCCUAGUAGAUCAGAAGGGCAUAGAAUAGUGCCUGGCAUGGGGUAGACAGUUAUUUCAUUUAUCUACUUCUGCAUAACCUCCCCCCCACCGACCCCUGCCUGAAAACUUAGUGUAUUAAAACUAACAAUUUCUCACAGUCGUGUAGGUUCAGCUUCACCUAGAGUCAGUUGGGCUCUGGCACAGCUGGAGGUUCCAAAUGGCCUCAUUCACAUGGCUGGCAGUUGGUGCUGGCUGGGGGCUGGGUCAGAAUGGGUCGUGGGUCAGGGGCCUUGCUUCUUCUCCACGUGGACCUCUCAGGAGCAUUUCCAGAGCAAAGUAAGAAGAUGCAGAUCUCUUAGGGCCCAGCCUUAAGGUCACUUCUGUGGAAAUUUUAGCUAAAACAAGUUACAGGGCAGGCCGGAUUCAAGAGGAGGAGGGGUAAGGAAUUGGCAGCCAUCUUUUUAGGUCUUCCAUGGUUUGCCCACUGGCCACAAAUUAUUUGGAUUCUUCCCACGUGUAAAAUGCAUUAAUCUCCCAAGAUCUCCCAAAGGCUCAUCCCAUUAAAACUUGACUUCAGGCUCAGGCUCUAGGUCCAGAGUCUAAUCAUCCAAAUCAGGUCCAGGUAUGGUUCCUCAGCUUCAGGGACCUAUGAACUACAAAACAAGGCUGCUAAAGGGAGUCAACUGGAACUUUGAACAUUUUGCCUGGAAAUCUCCAUAGCAAGCCCACAAGUUUAUUUGAUACAUUUUGUCUCAUCCAUGUUACUGCAUGUUGCUAGUAUGGAACUUAGGUUUUUCUUAUGGAAGCUCCCCACUUCCAGUGUUGCCUGAGUUAACAGAAUGUCUGGAACGUACAAAUGGCCUCCCGCACAUAGCUGAAAGUUGGUGCUGAUUGCUGACUGGGAAUUCAGCUGUAGCUGUUAGCUGAAGUGAACAGGCUGACCACAGGUGGAAAACACACCUACAAGGCAUCCAUCGUAGCUCGCAGAAGAAUGGAACAGUGUGAUACCUGGAGCCUGUCAUGCCUGGAGACCAACAUCCCUGGACCCCUCCUUACUGCCCAUUUUCCCUGUAUAACUGCCUCAAGAUUCUGAAAUCCUCGAAGAUGAGUUUUUGAGACAUUAGUCACUGGUCUUCUGAUUAGCCGGCUAAUCUCAUUAAACUUCCUUUCUCGAUCUCUAA
rnacentral:lncRNA from 1 species